CGAGACGGAUAAUUGAAAUUGCCGCGUGGAUCACUUAUGGCUGGGGUCGUUAACGUCUGCGCAUGCGCGGUACGUCUCGAGCGGACUGGAAUAACAAUGGCGAUUCGUAAAAUUGCUUCUGCUAGAAUCGUCGCGGACGGAGUGACAAGAAUUAACGGAAUGGCCAAAACCGGUGAUACGUGUUGAGGUGCGGCUUGUGUUUGAUAUAAGACUCUUACUCUCUUUCUCUUACGCUGUGUCCACGGGGAAGAAUUGAACGGACGAGGAUGAGUGCACGACUUAUGUAACGAGCUCGAGUAAUUACGGCUUCUUGGCCGAGGCUUCAUUUGUUUAUGUGCCACGUAUGCGUACCGCCAAUUUAUUAAACCAACAAGCGUGCGAGUGCCCUUUUUACGUGGCUGAUUAAAACGCAAUAGCCGGCGAUUAUUAUUAUGAGGUUUUGCACUGAGAAAACCAGAAGAGAACGGCAUUCCUACCUCUCGUUCCUUCCUUCCUUCCUUCCUUCCUUUACACAUCUUCCCUUUCGUUUCGUCUCGCUUCCUAGCUUCUGCUUCUUAUAAUUCCCAACGUAUUCUUUUAACGGCCCCUUUAGUCAUCGUCUACGGUCAUUAUUUGGAUGUUGAAUGUGAGAUUUUCUUUUUCAUAUUAUAUAUGUAUAAAACUAAAGAAAAUCAGUUUACCGUUUCAUUCAUUUAUUACGUUUGAUUACGUUUGGCGGCAGCACUCGUACUAGACGCCAUUACAUGGCUCCUACAUUUCAAAAAAGAUAGAAGCACGCGUCCUCGUGAUAAAAAAAAAUUGAUUAUCCCGUUCUCACGACCUUCGUCAAUUAUUUCCUCGUCAGUCUACCCGAGAAAAAGAUUAUAGAGAACUGGUAAGGAGAGAGAAGCGUGCGAAUGGCUGGCAAAAUCCUGACAAGAAAAUCACUUUGUAUCACGCGAUGUUAAGACUUCGACGAAGAAUCAUUAACCGGAGACAAUACUGCUUUCAAGUUAUUUGAACACGCGUGUCCGGCCCGUGACAUCGAUUCGACACAAGGAAAUGAGGAUCAAAAACGAAACACGCCGAAUAAAAGAAAGAGGAAAAGAAGGAAUAAGAGAAUAAGAAGGAAUUUAUGGGAAGUUAAGACCUGUUCCGGCUGUUCCUUCGCUCUUGCCAGAAGAACACGAGACGGAGGGAACAUUCAGCGAGAGGCACGGAUCCUGCCCCUGUUCGCAUAAAUCUCGCGUUCCUUGGCGCAGCCACAUUACGAGUCAUUAAACUCGCGAUGCGGGAGUGACGAGCGAUUAAUCGAGCGUAUCUAUGGCUCUGAAUGACCGUUAUUAGAGAGCAGCCAAUCUGACAGUCGAAGAAUUUCAAAAAUUCGAACAACUAACGAUCGGCUCUAAGAGUACAUGGAAAGAAGGAUAGUGAAUAGCACAGAUAGGUUUUAGGGUUACAGGGCUCCGAGGGUUUGUACCUUAUAGAGGUCUCUCUUAUACAGCUUCAGGACUCAUAUCGAAGAACCGUGGGAAGGUUAAGGUGAGUUUAGUAAAUUAAAGGAAGGUCAUGACCCAUCGGCCGUUCCUUGACCUCAUACAACAUAGAUCGUCGUUACUAUCCUAGUAUUCCAUCGGUGGGAUAUAAAUUCACAAUUGCUUUCUAUAAUAUCCCUGGAUCCAAUUUCAUCCAAGAGUUGAUAUCGAUAUACAACACCU